ensembl:lncRNA
CCCGACAGCUAAGCAGAGACCACACUCAGAGACAGAUGUCGCCCGCCGUCCGCCUGGCUGGGCCACGUCCGGCCCAGUGAAAUGUCAAUGGUUUUUAACCUCAUUGAACAACAGCACAGCAUGUCCACUGUGUAUGAUAUUCAAGUAAAUGUCAGGCAGCCCUUUGGAAGCCGCUUCGUCUCCCCGGAGUGAUUCACGAGGGACAAAUCAACAGCGUCGGAGGGAGGCCACUGUACCCAGCACUUUAACACAAAAUACCAUGACAGCGGGAAUGGGGAGACAUGAGGUUUGCUUCAUGCUGUUACAGUGUUGGCGUCCACAGGACCAAAACUGAGUCUAGCCAGAAGAUAGUUGACCCACUGCUGUCUCGUCGCUCAUUGAUGUCGUCUCCACUUUUAAAGUGAACCGCUGCGUUGAACGACUUCACCCUGAAGAAACAGUCAAGAUCCUGUGGACUGCUGCAAUAUACGUAAAGGUUCAAUGCCAAAUCUCUAUUGGUUAUUGUCCUUGUUCCUGGACAAGCUGUUGUUUUCAUGGCACAGUUCACCAUUGCUUUGCAGAAGGAAUGUGCUCAUUCUACUGAGAUAAACCUGUGAUACUGCGCUGGUUUUGGUGUAUAGAGAGGAUCAGAGGAUGCUAGAUGAUGGUGACGCUGAUGACCUUGUUGAGGUCAGUCGAAUUACAGCCACACGACGGCACCUCUACCGUUUAUCCCUCACUAGGGAGAUGCCUCAUCAGCCCUGGGCGUUGGAAGGCACACUGCCAGUCAUGAGGAUCACUGUAUUGCUGAGUUCCUCCUCAUCCCUUUAUUUUAGUUUUCCCGGUUAGUCCUCAAAUGACGUUCCUCGAAGACCAGGCUGCCGGAGAAAACAGUGAGAAGUGCUUCUUUGUCAAUGAAUGCAUUUUGACGCAAAUCAACUUGUGAAAAGAGAUAUGGUUUAAGUAACUGCACAUAGAACUGUCGUUUUGACCACUAUGCUAACAAGAUGGAUACAAUAUAAUCAAAAGAAUUUAGUAUAAAUAUGAAAAAUCAAUGUUUAUUAAUGGACCACUGCUGUUUUGAGCACCUUUCCAAGAGGUUAGCCAAAAAUAUAGCAUCAGUAAAAACAAAAUAUUAAGGUAGCAGAAUAAAAUCCACACUGCUCCACACAUCGGGUCUUGAUGAACAAAAUAUAUUAAAGAUUAAAAUCUUUACUGUACAUUGUGUAAUUCAUUGAGAACAAAAUGAGAACAAAAUGUAACAACAGUCAAUUGAAGCCAAAAUCGCCAAAUGAUUGAGGGCUGGUUUCAAACCCACACCGAAAAUCAGAGUAAACAAUUGAAAUCACAGGCUGUUUCAACUCAUAAUGUGACUCAGUAGUGUGUAUGGCCCCCACGUGCCUGUAUGCACUCCGGACAACAGCUGGACAUGCUCCUGAUGAGACGGCGGAUGGUGUCCUGGGGGAUCUCUUCCCAGACCUGGUUCAGGGCAUCAAUGAGCUCCUGGACAGUCUGUUGUGCUACUUGGCAGCUAAGAAUGCACCGAUACAUAACGUCCCAGAGGUUCUCAACUGGAUUCAGGUCUGGGGAACAUGAGGGCCAGACAAUGGCAUCACUGCCUUCGUCAUCCAGGAACCUACACACUUUGACCACUUGAGGCCGGGCAUUGUCCUACACCAGGAGGAACCCAGAGUACCAUUGCACCAGCGUAAGGUCUGAGGAUUUCAUCCCGGUACCUAAGAGCAGUCAGGGUUGGCUAGCAUGUGGAGGUCUGUGCGACCCUCCAAGUAUAUGCCUCCCCAGACCAUCACUGACCCACCGCCAAACCGGUCAUGCUGGAUGAUGUUGCAGGCAGCAUAACGUUCGCCACAGCGUCUCCGGACUCUUUCACGUCUGUCAUAUGUGCUCAGUGGGAACUUGCUGUCAUCUGUAAAGAGAACAAGCCACCAAUGGUGGACCUGCCAAUUCUGGCGUUCUCUUCAUGAAUGCCAAUCAAGCUGUACGGUGCUGGACUGUGAGCACACAUCCCACUAGAGGACGUCGGGCCCUCAGGCCACCCUCAUGGAAUAUGUUUUUGACAGUUUGGUCAGAAUCAUGCACACCAGUAGCCUGCUGGAGGUCAUUUUGUAGGGCUCUGGCAGUGCUCCUCCUAUUCCUCCUUGCACAAAGGAGCAGAUACCAGUCCAACUGCUGGUUUGAUGCCCUUCUACAGCCCUGUCCAGCUCUCCUUUUGUAACAGCCCAUCUCCUGGUAUCUCCUCCAUGCUCUUGAGAUUUUACUGGGAGACACAGCAAACCUUCUUGCGAUGACAUGUAUGGAUGUACCGUCCUGGAUGAGCUUGACUACCUGUGCAAACCGAACGGGCUGCAGCUACCUCCUCGUGCUACCAGUAGUGACAAGGACACAAGCAAAACUAGAGAAGAAUCAGUCAGGAAGGAUAAGGAGAGAGCAAUAGUCUGUGGCCACCACCUGCACAACCAUUCCCCUUUUUGGGGUUUGUCUUGCUGUUGCCUCUCCAGUGCACCUGUUGUCACUUUCAUUUGCACUGAAACAGGUGACAUUGUUUCACAAUUGCUAAUGCGUCCAUACUAGUCAGAUUGAUAUCCCAGACGUUUCAUUGACUUGGUGUUAUUCUGUGAUGAUUAUGUGUUCCCUUAAUUUUUAAAUGCUAAGUAGAGCAGUGUAAAUGCAAAGUAGCAGCUGAGGCUCAGCUGUCUGCUCCUCUCAUGUCUGUUGCUAUAUUGGCGGUUAUGAAUACUCAGACACAGGUGCAGUUGUGACAACCUUUUAGCAAGUUUUCAAACUGCUACAGCGACCUGUAUUGUAAACAGACCAAUUCAUACUUUCCCACUAACAGUUUCUAUGGUUUUAAAAUGUUUUCUUGUCACGCCGGCCUCCCCUUGCCCACUCCUGUGUCUUGUUGUGUUGAUUUGCCAUUGCUUUAAGUUGCCCUGUUUUCUGUUCUCCCCUCGUGGGUUAUUGUGCACAUUUCAUUUUCCCAUUUCUUUAUCUGUAAUUAUGAAUAAAGCAAAUUAUACAAUCG